UUUUAAAUCCCGGACCCCAGAGACCAUAACAAUAGAAGAAUUGGGAACACUAGUUACUUAUCAAUUACUUGCCUUUUUGGAUUUCAACAACACCAGAAAAAGGAUGUCUGUCAUAGUUCGAAACCCAGAAGGACAGAUAAAGCUUUAUUCCAAAGGAGCAGAUACUAUUCUGUUUGAAAAACUUCAUCCUUCCAAUGAAGUCCUUUUGUCUUUGACGUCAGACCACCUCAGUGAGGCCAGCAUGGUCUUUUAAAUUUUUUUUAAUGAACACAACACUGGAAUCAUAAGUGUCUGACUUAUUGCCGUUACUCAAACACCAAGGCCCUGGUUUUUCAUACAUUCUCCUUUAAUACUAAACUAUAGGAAACCUAAUUUGGUCUUUUUACAUUUCUCUGCAAAAUAAUUUUUUUUCAGGAAUUUGCAGGGGAAGGCCUUCGGACCUUGGCCAUCGCAUACAGAGACCUGGAUGACAAGUACUUUAAAGAGUGGCAUAAGAUGCUUGAAGAUGCGAAUGCUGCCACAGAAGAGAGGGAUGAACGAAUAGCUGGGCU
rnacentral:lncRNA from 1 species